CAAUAGCGUAUACUAAAGUUGUUGCAGUUAAAAAGCUCGUAGUUGGAUUUCUGGUCGGAAGCUCCUGUCCUCUGAUGAGCGUACAAGUGCGUCCUACCAUCCUUCUGUUAACCUUUAAGGCUUUCGCGGCUUUCUAGGGGCUCAGAUAUUUUACCUUGAGAAAAUUAGAGUGUUUCAGGCAGGCUAGCGCCGGAAUACAUUAGCAUGGAAUAAUGGAAUAGGACUUUUGCCUCUUCUGUUGGUCAUGAGGCUCGAGUAAUGAUUAAUAGGGAUAGUUGGGGGCAUUAGUACUUAACUGUCAGAGGUGAAAUUCUCGGAUUUGUUAAAGACUAACUUAUGCGAAAGCAUUUGCCAAGGAUGUUUNCAUUA
rnacentral:rRNA from 1 species